rnacentral:piRNA from 1 species
UCAUCUGAUAGAGGCAGAGGUGGCCUUAAA